rnacentral:rRNA from 1 species
GGAAAGGUGAAAAGAACCCCGAACAGGGGAGUGAAAUAGAACCUGAAACCAUACGCUUACAACCGGUCGGAGCAGCUUCGUGCUGUGACGGCGUGCCUAUUGAAUAAUGAGCCUACGAGUUACUAAUCACUGGCGAGGUUAAGUGCACGGAUGCACGGAGCCGAAGCGAAAGCGAGUCUGAACAGGGCGGCUAGUCAGUGGUUGUAGACGCGAAACCUUGCGAUCUACCCUUGAGCAGGUUGAAGGUUGGGUAAAACCAACUGGAGGACCGAACGAAUAAGCGUUGAAAAGCUUCUCGAUGACUUGAGGGUAGGGGUGAAAGGCUAAUCAAGCUGGGAAAUAGCUCGUACUCCCCGAAAUGCCUUUAGGGGCAGCGUUGUAAUAAAGAGUCUACUGGAGGUAGAGCUACUGAUUGGAUGCGGGGGCUUCACCGCCUACCAAAUCCUGACAAACUCCGAAUGCCAGUAGUAUGAUUUACAGCAGUGAGUGACUGGGUGCUAAUGUCCAGUCGCAAAAGAGGAACAACUCAGACCAGCAACUAAGGUCCCGAAGAAUAUGCUAAGUUGAUCUAACGAUGUUUUGUUGCAGAGACAGCUAGGAUGUUAGCUUGGAAGCAGCUAUUCAUUCAAAGAGUGCGUAACAGCUCACUAGUCGAGCGACAAAGCGUGGAUAAUAAACGGGCAUCAAGCAUACCACCGAAGUUCUGGGCGCGAAAGCGCGGUAGGGGAGCAUUCCAUUCAGCGUUGAAGCAGCGUCGUGAGAUGUUGUGGAGCGUAUGGAAAAGCAAAUGUAGGCAUGAGUAACGAUAAUGCGGGAGAGUAACCCGCACACCGCAAGACCAAGGUUUCCUGAUCAACGCUAAUCGGAUCAGGGUUAGUCGGGUCCUAAGGGUAAGCCGAACGGCGAUCUCGAUGGAUAAUCGGUUAAUAUUCCGAUACUGACAUAUACCUCGAUGGAGAGACGAAGGAACGUAAGUGCCGCCGCCUGACGGAAUAGGUGGUUAAAGGGCGUAGGUAUAGGGACAGAUUAAGAGUUAGUCCUUGCUGAACCCCGACAGUACAGAGAGCCUACGGGCAAUUUGAUAGUGCACCCAAGUCGACUUCCGAGAAAAUCUUCUAAGUUAUAGUAUAUGUCACCCGUACCGUAAACCGACACAGGUGGUCGAGGAGAGUAUCCUAAGGUGCUCGAGUGAAUCACGGUUAAGGAACUAGGCAAAUUAACCCCGUAACUUCGGGAAAAGGGGUCCCUAUGAAAGUAGGGCGCAGCGAAGAGGUCCAGGCGACUGUUUAUCAAAAACACAGGGCUCUGCAAAUUCGAAAGAAGACGUAUAGGGCCUGACACCUGCCCGGUGCUGGAAGGUUAAGAGGGGAUGUCAUCGCAAGAGAAGCAUUGAAUCGAAGCCCCAGUAAACGGCGGCCGUAACUAUAACGGUCCUAAGGUAGCGAAAUUCCUUGUCGGGUAAGUUCCGACCUGCACGAAUGGUGUAACGAUCUGGACACUGUCUCAACCGUGAGCUCGGUGAAAUUGUAGUCCCGGUGAUGAUGCCGGGUACCCGCAACGGGACGAAAAGACCCCGUGAACCUUUACUAUAGCUUAACGCUGAAUUUGGGUACACAAUGUGUAGGAUAGGCCGGAGACUGUGAAUCGGGCACGCCAGUGUUCGUGGAGUCAACGUUGAAAUACGGCCCUUUGUGUACUUGGAUUCUAACCCUGCGAAGGGGACACCGUUUGGUGGGUAGUUUGACUGGGGUGGUCGCCUCCAAAAGCGUAACGGAGGCUUC